AGAGAGAUUUCAACUUCCCUUUUCGAAGGUCCAACAAGAAUGUUGAUUCUAUCAAUUCCAACUUAAAUACUGAAGGAACAGUGGCAAAUAAUACAACAAUACUUCCCAUUACGUUUCAUUUACAUCAUAAAGUGCGAUCAAAAUCUUAAUUUAGGGUAAGCCAUUUUCCAGGGAAAAUCCCUGACGAAAGCAAAGCCCGCGCGUUCAAUGACAGCCGGCAAUAUGCCGGCCGGCAGACGAGAAAAAUUCCUUAAAUGAUUCCACACAAAUACGCCACCACCACCCAUAACGAUGAUGAUGAUGGUUGCCGAAAAGCCGGAAAGGAAACGUCGUACAACGCUCAAAAGCAAGCAGCUAGAGGGGAGAAGAGGAAGACUUCUUUUUCUAAAAAUAAUCUACCGGGAUGGGACCAACAGAAAAAAAAGGAAGGAAACAACCAACGCAAAAACGGAAGCAUCUCCCGUGCUCGCUACUCUGUUGGCGACAAAUCCCACACCACAUCCUCUAUAUUUAGGGCGACACUAAACACUGCUAAGACCCAGAGAGCUCACCAUGGUCUACUAGAGAGAGAGAGGACCCGGAAAGGAGCAGGAGCAAAAAGGAUGAGUUUAAGAAGGAUGGAACUCUUUGCGUGGCGCAAUAAUUGCAAGAAGACAAGGGCGGAGGUUGCAACCAGAGCAUAAAUUGCUACCCACUCGCCCAAGUCCAGAGACUCGUGGGUGGGUGUGUAUGUGGGAGAAAGGUUAUACAGAGAGUAAACGGUUGCACGGAAUACAUUGUCAUCUUAUAUUUCGAGGACGACAGGGAGAUCUCCAUGCCAUAGAAAUGGAGCUCAACUGACGUCGUGUACUACACUACACUACCUGCUGCUGCUGCUGCUACCACUACCACCCACUACUACUACACCUUCCUGGCAGCGGAGGGGUAUUUUUAGGUCCCAAUCACGCGCUAGACGGCGCCACACGUCGCUUCUAUUAUAAUUUCAGACAGAGGAUCCGCCGUGCGUCUGCCAAAUCGCUUUGUGCUCCCAAUAAUACAACAACACGGCGUUGGCUCUAUUGCGAGAAGUUGCGUUUGUACGUGGGUGGAUGGCUGACUUGGUUGCAGUACAUGGUAUUAUGUGUGUGUGUGUGUGUGUGUGUGUGUGUGUGUUUGUGUGUAUGUGUGUUUUGGUGCAUAAAUUUAGCUACGUGCGAUAUUCGACACCUAGACCAGGCCGAAAGGAGAGCUUCCCUGCGCACCCACACACGCGCGGCCACGACGGUGAUAUUAAACGGUAGCACGCACCAGUUAGCCGGUAAGGGGGGAAAAAAUGAUACAGACACAGGGGAGAAGAAAAAAUCAAUCGAUUUAUCGUUUGCUGAUGUUCGAUAGAGUCGAUUAAUUAAAUCAUGGGAAAAUGUGUGACGUGUGUGUAGGUCGAGAAUAAAUGUGACGGCUCCUGUUCAGCGGGUGAGAUGAG